UACGUAGGGGGCAAGCGUUGUCCGGAUUUAUUGGGCGUAAAGAGCGUGUAGGCGGCCAUGUAGGUCCGUUGUGAAAACUCGAGGCUCAACCUCGAGACGCCGAUGGAAACCAUGUGGCUAGAGUCCGGAAGAGGAGAGUGGAAUUCCUGGUGUAGCGGUGAAAUGCGCAGAUAUCAGGAGGAACACCGAUGGCGAAGGCAGCUCGCUGGGACGGUACUGACGCUGAGACGCGAAAGCGUGGGGAGCAAACAGG
rnacentral:rRNA from 1 species